UACGAAGGGAGCUAGCGUUGUUCGGAAUCACUGGGCGUAAAGCGCACAUAGGCGGAUGUGCCAGUCAGGGGUGAAAUCCCGGAGCUCAACUCCGGAACUGCCUCUGAUACAGCACGUCUUGAGUCCGGAAGAGGUGGGUGGAAUUCCUAGUGUAGAGGUGAAAUUCGUAGAUAUUAGGAAGAACACCCGUAGCGAAGGCGGCACUCUGGGCCGGUACUGACGCUGAGGAGCGAAAGCGUGGGGAGCAAACAGG
rnacentral:rRNA from 1 species